CAUCCUUAAUUGAGUAACAUAUUCUGCUAUCUUCUUAAUGGAUUCAACCUGUUCUUUCAAAAACUCUCUCUCAACGAAUUCUGCCAUUUGUGGAUCAUUGUUUCGAUCUGCCACAUUGUGCAAGCUCAAUAGUUUCUCAUUUGUCAACUUCUCCAAAGACAAUGCUAAUUCCAUAGCAUACAAUGCAUCUCCCUUCUCUGCAUGCUCAAACUCUGACAGAGGCAUCAGCAUAGAGUGCAGUUUUACUCGCCCUCCACGUAUGUUCUGAUACUUCAUUAGCUUUUCAGC
rnacentral:misc_RNA from 1 species